AGCGGCGAAAGGGAGAGUAACGAGUAGAUACGUACCCAGGGGUCCGGGAUAGCCAUGCGAAAGCGCGAGUAAUACCGGAUAAUGUCUCCGGACCAAAGAUUUAUUGCCCUUGGAGCGGUUUGCUUACUAUUAGCUUGUUGGUGGGGUAAAGGCCUACCAAGGCUUAGAUGGUUAGCGGGUGUGAGAGCAUGACCCGUCUCACUGGGACUGAGACACUGCCCAGACACCUACGGGUGGCUGCAGUCGAGAAUCUUCCGCAAUGGACGAAAGUCUGACGGAGCGACGCCGCGUGCUGGAUGAAGGCCCUCGGGUUUGUAAACAGCUGUCGUAGGGGAGGAAAUUUUUGACCGAUCCCUAGGAGGAAAGCACAGGCUAAGUUCGUGCCAGCAGCCGCGGUAAUACGAACUGUGCAAACGUUAUUCGGAAUCACUGGGGCUUAAAGGGUGCGUAGGCGGGGUUGUAGGUCAGAAUGUGAAAGCCCACGGCUCAACCGUGGAAUUGCGUUUUGAAACCACCAGUCUUGAGGGGAUCAGAGGAGAGCGGAACUGAUGGUGGAGCGGUGAAAUGCGUUGAAAUUAUCAGGAACACCGGUGGCGAAAGCGGCUCUCUGGGAUCUUUUCUGACGCUGAGGCACGAAAGCUAGGGGAGCGAACGGGAUUAGAUACCCCGGGUAGUCCUAGCUGUAAACGAUCUGUACUAGUCUGUGGA
rnacentral:rRNA from 1 species